CCUACGGGAGACAGCAGUGAGGAAUAUUGGUCAAUGGACGAGAGCCUGAUCCAGCCACGCAGCGUGAAGGAUGACUGCCCUCUGGGUUGUAAACUUCUUUUAUAAAGGAAUAAAACGAGGCACGUGUGCCUUUUUGCACGUACUUUAUGAUUAAGGAUCGGCUAACUCCGUGCCAGCAGCCGCGGUAAUACGGAGGGUCCGAGUGUUAGCCGGAUUUAGUGGGUUUAAAGGUAGCGUAGAUGGGUUGUUAAGUCAGUUGUGAAAGUUUGCGGCUCAACCGUAAAAUUGCAAUUGAUACUGGCAGUCUUGAGUACAGUUGAGGUAAGCGGAAUUCGUGGUGUAGCGGUGAAAUGCUUAGAUAUCACGAAGAACCCCGAUUGCGAAGGCAGCUUACUAAACUGUGACUGACAUUGAUGCUCGAAAGUGUGGGUAUCAAACAGGAUUAGAUACCCGUGUAGUC
rnacentral:rRNA from 1 species